UACGGAGGGUGCAAGCGUUGUCCGGAUUUAUUGGGUUUAAAGGGUGCGUAGGAGGGCAGGUAAGUCAGUGGUGAAAUCUCCGAGCUUAACUUGGAAACUGCCGUUGAUACUAUCUGCCUUGAAUAUUGUGGAGGUGAGCGGAAUAUGUCAUGUAGCGGUGAAAUGCUUAGAUAUGACAUAGAACACCAAUUGCGAAGGCAGCUCGCUACACAUAUAUUGACUCUGAGGCACGAAAGCGUGGGGAUCAAACAGG
rnacentral:rRNA from 1 species